GACGAACCGUGCAAACGUUGUUCGGAUUCACUGGGCUUAAAGGGCGCGUAGGCGGGUGAUCAAGUCCGGGGUGAAAUCCUUCAGCUCAACUGGAGAAUAGCCUUGGAUACUGGUCGCCUCGAGGGAGGUAGGGGCGGGCGGAACUUCCGGUGGAGCGGUGAAAUGCGUAGAUAUCGGAAGGAACGCCGGUGGCGAAAGCGGCCCGCUGGACCUCUUCUGACGCUGAGGCGCGAAAGCCAGGGGAGCGAACGGG
rnacentral:rRNA from 1 species